GAAUAUUGCACAAUGGGGGAAACCCUGAUGCAGCCAUGCCGCGUGUGUGAAGAAGGCCUUCGGGUUGUAAAGCACUUUCAGUAGGGAGGAAAGGUUGCAGUUUAAUAAACUGUAGCUGUGACGUUACCUACAGAAGAAGGACCGGCUAACUCCGUGCCAGCAGCCGCGGUAAUACGGAGGGUCCGAGCGUUAAUCGGAAUUACUGGGUGUAAAGCGUGCGCAGGCGGUUUGUUAAGCGAGAUGUGAAAGCCCUGGGCUCAACCUAGGAAUAGCAUUUCGAACUGGCGAACUAGAGUCUUGUAGAGGGGGGUAGAAUUCCAGGUGUAGCGGUGAAAUGCGUAGAGAUCUGGAGGAAUACCGGUGGCGAAGGCGGCCCCCUGGACAAAGACUGACGUUCAUGCACGAAAGCGUGGGGAGCAAACAGG
rnacentral:rRNA from 1 species